rfam:Bacillus cereus Rock3-44 chromosome, whole genome shotgun sequence.
UGUGUUUCACUCCUUUCGUAUAUAUUGUAAACCUUCACAUUAAUGUGAAGG